rnacentral:rRNA from 1 species
UACGAGGGCAGCAGCGUUGUUCGGAGUUACUGGGCGUAAAGGGUGUGUAGGCGGUUCUCUAAGUUUGGUGUGAAAUCUCCCGGCUCAACCGGGAGGGUGCGCCGAAAAACUGGAGGGCUAGAGUGCGGGAAGGGAGAGUAGAAUUCCUGGUGUAGCGGUGAAAAUGCGUAGAUAUCAGGAGGAAUACCGGUGGUGUAGACGGCUCUCUGGACCGCGACUGACGCUGAGACACGAAAAGCGUGGGGUAGCAAAACAGG